AACGAACGCUGGCGGCAUGCCUAACACAUGCAAGUCGAACGAGACCUUCGGGCCUAGUGGCGCACGGGUGCGUAACGCGUGGGAACCUGCCCUUAGGUUCGGAAUAACUCCCCGAAAGGGGUGCUAAUACCGGAUAAUGUCUUCGGACCAAAGAUUUAUCGCCUUUGGAUGGGCCCGCGUUGGUUUAGCUAGUUGGUAGGGUAAAAGCCUACCAAGGCGACGAUCCAUAGCUGGUCUGAGAGGAUGAUCAGCCACACUGGGACUGAGACACGGCCCAGACUCCUACGGAAGGAAGGAGUGGAGAAUAUUGGACAAUGGGCGAAAGCCUGAUCCAGCCAUGCCGGGUGAGUGAUGAAGGCCUUAGGGUUGUAAAGCUCUUUUACCCGGGAUGAUAAUGACAGUACCGGGAGAAUAAGCACCGGCUAACUCCGUG
rnacentral:rRNA from 1 species